UCGGUAAUUCCAGCUCCAAUAGCGUAUAUUAAAGUUGUUGCCGUUAAAAAGCUCGUAGUCGAACUUCGGGUCCUGUCCGCCGGUCCGCCUUCUUGGUGUGUACUUGUUGGAUGGGACCUUACCUCCUGGUGAACGGCGAUGUCCUUUACUGGGUGUCGUCGCAAACCGGGACGUUUACUUUGAAAAAAUUAGAGUGUUCAAAGCAGGCCUCUGCCCGAAUACAUUAGCAUGGAAUAAUAGAAUAGGACGCGCGUUCCCAUUUUGUUGGUUUCUGAGAUCGCCGUAAUGAUUAAUAGGGAUAGUUGGGGGCAUUUGUAUUCCGACGUCAGAGGUGAAAUUCUUGGAUUGCCGGAAGACAAACUACUGCGAAAGCAUUCGCCAAGGAUGUUUUCAUUGAUCAAGAACGAAGGAAGGGGGAUCGAAAACGAUUAGAUACCGUUGUAGUCUCUUCUGUAAACUAUGCCAAUUGGGGAUCGGCACAGGAUUUUUAAUGACUGUGUCGGCACCCGAAGAGAAAUCUUUAAAUGAGGUUCGGGGGGGAGUAUGGUCGCAAGGCUGAAACUUAAAGGAAUUGACGGAAGGGCACCACCAGGUGUGGAGCCUGCGGCUUAAUUUGACUCAACA
rnacentral:rRNA from 1 species